GCUACUUUGGCAGAUUAGUGCAGUAAAUUUAGAAUUUAUUUAUGUAAUGGUUAUUACAGGUAGUA
rnacentral:tRNA from 1 species